CUCUGCAAAAACAGCCCCUUAUCUGCUCCUGCCUGCCUCUUGUCCAAGUCAUGUGUGAUUAGUUCCCUGACACAAACACCCCUCUGGAGCCAAGGCAGCUGCAAGGCAAGCUGUGCUCUGAUACAGCUCAUGCCUCUAAGGCAGUGUGAGAGCAGUAGCUACUGUCUAGCUGAGCCCAGGAGCUUCACUGUUUAUGGAGCUGGAAGAAGAACAGUGUUUGAUUCUAAGGGAUCAAGCAGACCUGGUUGAGCUGGCAAUCAAAAUUAAAAAGUCAGUCCUGGUUCGUAACAAUAACUGUGAUCAGGAUUACAGAUACCAGACCUGGGCAAAUACUCCUAGAAACAGCCCUUCUGCUUUUCAUUUGGCAUAAGAUCUCCCUCUGUUCUUGAAGAUGUCAUGCUUCCUUCCCUUCCCACUAAAGAGGGUCAUGCUUUGGUCCAGCAGAUGACGAGCAGCAAAGCAAAGUCCAUGGGAACAUGAGGGAAUGGUUUGCCAAGCAGCAGGUCCAUGCUGGUGUGUGGCCUUUAGUCAGGGUUAAAUAAACACUGUGUAAAUAAAUAAAUAAAUUUUCCCCAG